AUAGUAAAACCAGUGGCAUCUUCUAGGGGGCGGGGCGUCUACCUGAUCAACAAUCCAAACCAGAUUUCCCUGGAAGAGAACAUUCUGGUCUCCCGUUACAUUAACAACCCCCUGCUCAUAGAUGAUUUCAAGUUUGACGUGCGCCUCUAUGUGCUCGUGACUUCCUAUGAUCCUCUUGUCAUCUAUCUCUAUGAAGAAGGAUUGGCUAGAAAAUGCAAUUGGAAGAUGGGAAAUACCAUGGAUAAAAGAAGGCUACCUAUUUAUGUACAGAACUUGAUUAAUUUCUCUUGAACUUGAAAGAUUCUUGAAAGAUUCUCUGCUUCUACUUCCACUUGCUACUUGUACUCAAACUCUAUGGCUUUGACGUGCUCAUAGAUUCUACUCUGAAGCCAUGGUUGUUGGAAGUGAAUCUCUCUCCUUCUUUGGCCUGUGAUGCGCCUCUGGACCUAAAGAUUAAAGCCAGUAUGAUUUCAGAUAUGUUCACUGUUGUAGGAUUUGUGUGCCAAGAUCCUGCCCAGCGGGCAUCAACUCGGCCAAUUUAUCCCACCUUUGAGUCUUCCAGGCGAAACCCUUUCCAGAAACCUCAGCGUUGCCGUCCACUCUCUGCCAGUGAUGCGGAAAUGAAAAACCUCGUGGGCUCAGCCCGGGAGAAAGGGCCAGGGAAGUUGGGUGGUUCUGUGCUUGGUCUGUCAAUGGAGGAGAUCAAAGUUUUACGUAGGGUGAAGGAGGAGAAUGAUCGGAGAGGUGGAUUUAUUCGCAUAUUUCCUACAUCUGAGACAUGGGAAAUAUAUGGGUCCUACCUCGAGCACAAGACCUCAAUGAACUAUAUGCUGGCAACACGCCUCUUCCAGGACAGAAUGACUGCUGAUGGAGCGCCAGAAUUGAAGAUAGAGAGUCUGAAUUCAAAGGCCAAGCUGCAUGCUGCGCUUUACGAGAGGAAGCUCCUGUCUCUGGAGGUGCGAAAACGUAGACGACGGAGUAGCAGAUUGAGGGCAAUGAGGCCAAAAUACCCAGUGAUUACCCAACCAGCUGAAAUGAAUGUUAAAACUGAGACAGAGAGUGAAGAGGAGGAAGAAGUCGCAUUAGACAAUGAAGAGGAAGAACAGGAGGCUUCCCAGGAGGAGUCUGCAGGAUUUCUUAGAGAAAAUCAAGCCAAAUAUACACCCUCAUUGACAGCUUUGGUAGAAAAUACACCCAAAGAACAUUCCAUGAAAGUUCGUGAAUGGAAUAAUAAAGGUGGACACUGCUGCAAACUUGAGACUCAGGAGUUGGAGCCUAAAUUUAACCUGAUGCAGAUUCUUCAAGAUAAUGGCAAUCUUAGCAAAGUGCAGGCCCGAAUAGCAUUCUCUGCCUAUCUCCAGCAUGUUCAAAUUCGCCUGAUGAAAGACAGUGGCGGUCAGACGUUCAGUGCCAGUUGGGCUGCCAAAGAGGAUGAACAGAUGGAGCUGGUCGUUCGUUUCCUCAAGCGAGCAUCAAAUAACCUCCAGCAUUCACUGAGGAUGGUAUUACCCAGCCGACGACUGGCACUUCUGGAACGCAGAAGAAUCCUGGCCCACCAGCUGGGUGACUUUAUCAUUGUAUACAACAAGUUUUAUCUUGUUUUUCUGUGGGGUUUGGGCACUGGGUAGGAAACAGAACAAAUGGCUGAAAAGAAAUCAAAGAAGAAAGUUGAGGAAGAAGAGGAAGAUGGGGUGAAUAUGGAAAACUUUCAGGAGUUCAUCAGACAAGCAAGGCUGAACUGGAGGAGGUGUUGACUUUUUAUACCCAAAAGAACAAGUCUGCUAGUGUCUUCCUGGGGACUCACUCUAAAAGUUCUAAGAACAACAACAGUUAUUCUGAUAGUGGGGCAAAAGGUGAUCACCCUGAGACUAUAAUGGAAGAAGUGAAAAUAAAGCCGCCUAAACAGCAACAGACAACAGAAAUUCAUUCUGAUAAAUUAUCUCGAUUUACCACUUCAGCAGAAAAAGAGGCAAAAUUAGUUUAUAGCAAUUCCUCCUCUACUCCUUUCUCUGGUCCUACUGCUACUCUGCAGAAAAUUCCCAACACCCAUUUGUCAUCUGUUACAACCUCUGACCUCUCUCCAGGGCCUGGCCACCAUUCUUCUUUAUCUCAAAUUCCUUCAGCUAUCCCCAGCAUGCCUCACCAGCCAACAGUUUUACUGAAC
rnacentral:sRNA from 1 species